rnacentral:lncRNA from 10 species
GGAAAUUUAAAAACAAUAAGGCACCUGUAAUUCCAGCACUUUAGGAGGCCGUGGAGGGUGGAUCACUUGAGGUUAGGCGCUCAAGACCAGUCUGGCCAACAUGGUGAAGCCCCAUCUCAACUAAAAAUACUAAAAUUAGCAAGGUGUGGUGAUGCACAUCUGUAAUCCCAGCUACUCAGGAGACUGAGGCAGAAGAAUCACUUGAACCUGGAUGUCAGAUAUUGCAGUGAGCUGAGCUCAUACCACUGCACUCCAGCCUGGGCGACAGAGUGAGUGAGAUUCCAUCUCAAAAACAAAGAAACAAACAAACAAAACACACACAAAAAAAAAACCACACAAAAAAAUAAGGCUCUUAGCAAAAUAAUAGCUAAGUGUUUUUAUUUUAUUUUAUUUUAAAAUUGUACCAAAACCAUAGAUGAAACUAAGUGUUUUUUUAUAUCUUCAUUAAGUGACAAUCAGUUUGUUUGUUUUGGUUUUUUUUUUUUUUAAUUAUUUAGGGAUGGGAGUCUUCCCUUGUUGUCCAGACUGGUUUCAAACUCCUGGCCUCAAAUGAUCCUCACACCUCAGCCUCCCAAAGUGCUGAGAUUACAGGCGUGGGCCACCACUCCCAGGCACCAAUCACAGUUCUAAGAAUUUUACAUAGAUCAACUUUGUUGAGUCCUCACCAUUCUCAUCCCACAGAUGAGGAAACUGAGUCGCAGAGAGGCUAAAUGCAUUGUUCAGGGUCACAUAGCUGGUUGUGAAGGUGGUGUGUGAAUGGCAGGUUUGGAAAGGCCAGGUGUAGGGGCUACAUUGUGGAAUGCCCCCGGCUCAUGAUGACUACUUAACUUCCCUCUCCCCUCCUCUUUGCAUGCAGUGGGCCCCCAGCUUCUGGCUUGUACUAAACACUCUGCUCUCCCAACUGUUAUGGAAUGAAACGGGAGCAAGACUUGAUGCAUACUGGGUAAAUCUAACCCUGCCCUGAAAAUUUGGAAUAAUUACUGAAGAAGAUGUCAUCUGCACAGUAGCACUGAAGUAAAUCCAAUUACUCAGGGGAGCCCUGGACGCCGUCAUUUUCCUCAGAUGCAGUCAAUCUGCAGGAGAGAGAAGAACGAAUACAUGCAGAGAGAGGCAAAGUGGAGAGAUGGGGUCUUCCUGAGCCCCAGUGUUUCCACUUCUUAGACCUGGUCCUUUCUCAUCCACGUCAGGCUGCACCCCUCAACUUGUCUUUUGGUAACUGCCCCCAUUCAACCUAAGCUAGCUGGGGUUGGUUUUUGCUUUACUUAAUAAAAACAUUUCUUUCUUUCUUUCUUUUUU